UAACGCGUGAGGAACCUGCCUCAAAGAGGGGGACAACNGUUGGAAACGACUGCUAAUACCGCAUAAGCCCACAGCUCGGCAUCGAGCAGAGGGAAAAGGAGCAAUCCGCUUUGAGAUGGCCUCGCGUCCGAUUAGCUAGUUGGUGAGGUAAUGGCCCACCAAGGCGACGAUCGGUAGCCGGACUGAGAGGUUGAACGGCCACAUUGGGACUGAGACACGGCCCAGACUCCUACGGGAGGCAGCAGUGGGGAAUAUUGCACAAUGGGGGAAACCCUGAUGCAGCGACGCCGCGUGGAGGAAGAAGGUCUUCGGAUUGUAAACUCCUGUUGUUGAGGAAGAUAAUGACGGUACUCAACAAGGAAGUGACGGCUAACCACGUGCCAGCAGCCGCGGUAAAACGUAGGUCACAAGCGUUGUCCGGAAUUACUGGGUGUAAAGGGAGCGCAGGCGGGAAGACAAGUUGGAAGUGAAAUCUAUGGGCUCAACCCAUAAACUGCUUUCAAAACUGUUUUUCUUGAGUAGUGCAGAGGUAGGCGGAAUUCCCGGUGUAGCGGUGGAAUGCGUAGAUAUCGGGAGGAACACCAGUGGCGAAGGCGGCCUACUGGGCACCAACUGACGCUGAGGCUCGAAAGUGUGGGUAGCAAACAGGAUUAGAUACCCUGGUAGUCCACACCGUAAACGAUGAUUACUAGGUGU
rnacentral:rRNA from 1 species